rnacentral:rRNA from 1 species
GACGAACGCUGGCGGCAUGCCUAAUACAUGCAAGUCGAGCGAACAGAUGAAGUGCUUGCCCUUCUGACGUUAGCGGCGAACGGGUGAGUAACACGUAAGGAAUCUACCUAUAAGCGGGGGAUAACAUUCGGAAACGGGUGCUAAUACCGCAUAAUAUCUUCUUCCGCAUGGAAGAAGAUUGAAAGACGGCUCUGCUGUCACUUAUAGAUGACCUUGCGGUGCAUUAGUUAGUUGGUGGGGUAACGGCCUACCAAGACGAUGAUGCAUAGCCGACCUGAGAGGGUGAUCGGCAACAUUGGGACUGAGACACGGCCCAAACUCCUACGGGAGGCAGCAGUAGGGAAUCUUCCGCAAUGGGCGAAAGCCUGACGGAGCAAUGCCGCGUGAGUGAAGAAGGCCUUCGGGUCGUAAAACUCUGUUAUAAGAGAAGAACAAAUUGUAGAGUAACUGCUACAGUCUUGACGGUAUCUUAUCAGAAAGCCACGGCUAACUACGUG